rnacentral:rRNA from 1 species
AAUAGAUACCCCGGUAGUCCACGCUGUAAACGUUGGGCGCUAGGUGUGGGGGGCCUCUCCGGUUCUCUGUGCCGCAGCUAACGCAUUAAGCGCCCCGCCUGGGGAGUACGGCCGCAAGGCUAAAACUCAAAGGAGUUGACGGGGGCCCGCACAAGCGGCGGAGCAUGCGGAUUAAUUCGAUGCAACGCGAAGAACCUUUACCUGGGUUUGACAUGGCCGCAAAACCGGCAGAGAUGUCGGGUCCUUCGGGGCGGGUCACAGGUGGUGCAUGGCUGUCGUCAGCUCGUGUCGUGAGAUGUUGGGUUAAGUCCCGCAACGAGCGCAACCCUCGUUCGAUGUUGCCAGCGCGUUAUGGCGGGGACUCAUCGAAGACUGCCGGGGUCAACUCGGAGGAAGGUGGGGAUGACGUCAAGUCAUCAUGCCCCUUAUGUCCAGGGCUUCACGCAUGCUACAAUGGCCGGUACAAUGGGCUGCGAUACCGUGAGGUGGAGCGAAUCCCAAAAAGCCGGUCUCAGUUCGGAUCGGGGUCUGCAACUCGACCCC